UCCAAAGAGAGGACCCAAGUCAAACAUUCCACGAACUUUGAAGAACGACGUCCACGUCCGUUUUGGUGACUAAUAAUCAUCAUAUUUGUGCAAGGCUUGGCGCAGCACAGCGGCAGAAUCAUCUAUUUCACCAUCAUGGAAUCUCUGACCUGAGAGAGGCUGCCUCCUAGUGCCAACUUCCCACACACCCUUACCUAUCAAUCAUCACCCACCUCCAAAAAAAGGUGGCCACAUGGCUGGUGGUUGGAUAUUUCUCCUGACUUCCUAUAGUCAGGGACAGGUGAUCAUCCCCAAAUACAAGUAUCUCUUUGCCCUUUUGUUAGAGGUUCACCGUCUAACCCAAUUCAAUCUUUAUUUCCUGAAUUGUUUCCAUUUUUAAAGGAGAUAUUAAGGAAUUUUUCUACGAUUCCAAUGAAAUUCUCCUAUAAGCCUAAAA